UGAGUACGAGAUGCUACGGCAUCGAAGCAGUCUAUGUCAUACUUCCAAGAAAAGCUUGCAAUGUCAUAAACAAAUAAUGCCUGUACCAUAACCGACACAGGUGGGUAGGUAGAGUAUACUAAGGGGCGCGAGAUAACUCUCUCUAAGGAACUCGGCAAAAUGACUCCGUAACUUCGGGAGAAGGAGUGCCUUAUUUUUAUAAGGUUGCAAUAACAAGAUCCAAGCAACUGUUUACCAAAAACACAGGUCUCCGCUAAGUCGUAAGACGAUGUAUGGGGGCUGACGCCUGCCCAGUGCCAGAAGGUUAAAGAAGUUGGUUAGCAUUAGCGAAGCUGAUAACUGAAGCCCUGGUGAACGGCGGCCGUAACAAUAACGGUCCUAAGGUAGCGAAAUUCCUUGUCGGGUAAGUUCCGACCCGCACGAAAGGCGUAAUGAUUUGGAUACUGUCUCGGAGAGGGGCUCGGUGAAAUAGACUUGUCUGUGAAGAUGCGGACUACCUGCACCUGGACAGAAAGACCCUAUGAAGCUUUACUGUAACUUGAGAUUGAAAUUGGACUUUAUCUGCGCAGUAUAGGUGGGAGACGUUGAAAAUAUUCUUGCGGGAAUAUUGGAGUCAUCAGUGAGAUACCACUCUUAUAAUGUUAGAUUUCUAACUUUGUAUCAUUAUCUGGUCAAAGAACAGUUUCAGGCGGGCAGUUUGACUGGGGCGGUCGCCUCCCAAACGGUAACGGAGGCGCACAAAGGUUUCCUCUGAACGUGUAGAAAUCGUAUCUAGAGUGUAAAGGCAUAAGGAAGCUUGACUGUGAGACCUACAAGUCGAGCAGGGACGAAAGUCGGUCUUAGUGAUCUGACGGUACUGAGUGGAAAGGCCGUCACUCAACGGAUAAAAGUUACUCUAGGAUAACAGGCUGAUCUCCCCCAAGAGUUCACAUCGACGGGGAGGUUUGGCACCUCGAUGUCGGCUCAUCGCAUCCUGGGGCGGUAGUACGUCCCAAGGGUUGGGCUGUUCGCCCAUGAAAGCGGUACGCGAGCUGGGUUCAGAACGUCGUGAGACAGUUCGGUCCAUAUCCGGUGUAGGCGUUAGAAUAUUGAGAGGAGCCUUCUUUAGUACGAGAGGACCGAGAAGGACAUACCUCUGGUGUACCAGUUAUCGUGCCAACGGUAAACGCUGGGUAGCCAUGUAUGGAGAGGAUAACCGCUGAAAGCAUCUAAGUGGGAAGCCCACCUCAAGAUAAG
rnacentral:rRNA from 1 species